rnacentral:tRNA from 1 species
GCCGGAGUAGCUCAGCUGGUAGAGCACCGGUCUUGUAAACCGGUGGCCGUCGGUUCGAGUCCGACCUCCGGCU